GCGAGGCGGUCCAGGGCAGCGGAGACGUCGAUUCUCUCGAGGUUUCUCCCAUCAACCUGCCUCCAACUGUCAGCUUCGUCAAUGGGAAACACGAGGUGACGUUUGAGUCGGAGCUGCCGGAGGAAGCCCGAGGAGAUCAGUUUGAGACGGCCACACCUGUUCGGGUAGAUGAGUUGGAAAAAAAGGAAGACGAGACGGAGAAGGAGAGUGCGACUCCCUUUGACUACGAUGUCAUAGAAAUCCACACCGAGACACCUACAGAGGAGACACC